CACGUAGGCGGCCUCGUAAGUGUCGGAUGAAAUCCCACGGCUUACCCGUGGAACGGUCCGGCAUACUGCGAGGCUCGAGGAUGGUAGAGGAGAGCGGAACUCUUGGUGGAGCGGUGAAAUGCGUAGAUAUCAAGAGGAACACCGGUGGCGAGGGCGGCUCUCUGGUCCAUGUCUGACGCUGAGGUGCGAAAGCCAGGGGAGCAACG
rnacentral:rRNA from 1 species